GAUGAACGCUAGCGGCAGGCUUAACACAUGCAAGUCGAGGGGUAUAGUAGCAAUACUAGAGACCGGCGCACGGGUGCGUAACGCGUAUGCAACCUACCUUUUACAGAGGGAUAGCCCCAGAGAAAUUUGGAUUAAUACCUCAUAGUGUUAUUAGAUGGCAUCAUUUGAUAACUAAAGUUCCAACGGUAAAGAUGGGCAUGCGUCCUAUUAGCUAGAUGGUAAGGUAACGGCUUACCAUGGCUACGAUAGGUAGGGGUCCUGAGAGGGAGAUCCCCCACACUGGUACUGAGACACGGACCAGACUCCUACGGGAGGCAGCAGUGAGGAAUAUUGGACAAUGGGCGCAAGCCUGAUCCAGCCAUGCCGCGUGCAGGAAGAAGCAUCUAUGGUGUGUAAACUGCUUUUUGUACGGGAAGAAACACUCCUACGUGUAGGAGCUUGACGGUACCGUAAGAAUAAGGAUCGGCUAACUCCGUAGCCAGCAGCCGCGGUAA
rnacentral:rRNA from 1 species